rnacentral:rRNA from 1 species
AUACGGAGGGUGCAAGCGUUAAUCGGAAUUACGGGGCGUAAAGCGCGCGUAGGCGGUUUAGUCAGUCGGAUGUGAAAGCCCAGGGCUCAACCUUGGAAUUGCAUUCGAUACUGCUUGACUAGAGUAUGGUAGAGGGAAGUGGAAUUUCCGGUGUAGCGGUGAAAUGCGUAGAUAUCGGAAGGAACACCAGUGGCGAAGGCGACUUCCUGGGCCAAUACUGACGCUGAGGUGCGAAAGCGUGGGGAGCAAACAGGAUUAGAAACCCCAGUAGUCC